CCUUUUUUUACAUGAUUUGAAAUGGAUGUAGCAUUUGGAACUGAAGCACAUCUAAAUAUUAAACAUAAUUAUUUUCAAGUCUCCAUUUUCAAAACGGACUUGCUGGGUUUCUUAGAGCUGAGUGGAUGACAAUUUUUUUCACAAUGAGGAUUGUUUAAAGGGAAGUGUGUGAUGAUGAGUUUCUUCCCGACAAAAGGUCCUCCCAGGAAGAACACCAGCUUGCCUGGAUCACAGAGCAGCAGCGCUGCAGAAAUGUGUUACUGAGUCUGCAACACCUUGUGUGAUCUGAGAGUACUUAAAGGUAAAAUACAAAGCUUCUGUCCAAUAUUAUGAAACCUCUAUGUCAGAAAUUCUCUGGGAAUGCAGUUCAGCUUCUUUUGUCAAGUCUUGAAUCUUCCAGACAAGGAGGGGUUUCUAAACCUUGUGAAUUAUCCUUCAUCUGUCAAUUAAAUUAAUGUGUGACUGAC